GGGGCACAAGGCUCAUUGAAUACAGUGAACACAUCCUAGGGGAGGUAAAUGGAGAAAGACGCAGCUGCAGACACAAGCACAAGACACACACAAAGAAGUCAUAGGGAAGAGCAUGGAAUACACCAACUAGGAACCAGGCACUGUCCAAGCUCUGGAAAAGGCUCUCAAAAAAGGAGCUGACGUCUCUGCAUUCUGGAGGAGCCAGGCCUGUGGCAAACCGUCAACUAAUAAACAGCUGACAUGGAACUUAGCAUCCCCUUACUCCCACUCCAGGAACUGAGGAGAGAGCCCCUGGCUCUCUGCUCCCUGCCCUGCUCCUGUCUCUCAUCAUGCAGUCAAGGUUGUGAGCGUUCUGUUCCUCUCCAUCACCAGGCUUCUCCACAGGCUCCUGCUCCUGGCUUAAGUGUCAACCUGACAUCUGCACAGAAACUUCAUCACCAGCCUACAAAGGUGGUCCCCAGUGACCCAUGACAGCUGAUGUCAUGUCCUGUGCUGCUCCACCCUCAUUGAAUCUGGCUGGACCUGGGACUGGCUUUGACCAGCAAUGUGGGAGUGAAGCUGGCGCUGCUGCCUUGGCCCUGUGGGAGGCCUGAGCUGACAGGUGAGAAGUCUAACUGCCCUCCUGGAGAGGCCAUGUGGAGAGGCUCUGAGACUCCAUGGACAGAGAAAGGCCUAAUUCCCCCAUCCCAGCCAUGCUCAGCCUCCAGCUGUCCCCACAAAUGUACCAGAUAUGGUCUAAAGCCAUGCCAGGUGUCCCAUCCACUGUUACCAGCAACUCCCCAUCAGGACCUGUCACAGAGAGCCCAUUAGGACCAGCUGAGGAACCGCCCAGCUCUGCCUAGCCAAUCCAGAGUUUUUGCUGUUUUAAGCCACUACAUUUUGGGUGUUUUUUUUCUUUAAUGCAUCAA
rnacentral:lncRNA from 1 species